UACGAAGGGGGCUAGCGUUGCUCGGAAUCACUGGGCGUAAAGCGCACGUAGGCGGAUCUUUAAGUCGGGGGUGAAAUCCCGGGGCUCAACCCCGGAACUGCCUUCGAUACUGAGGAUCUUGAGUCCGGGAGAGGUGAGUGGAACUGCGAGUGUAGAGGUGAAAUUCGUAGAUAUUCGCAAGAACACCAGUGGCGAAGGCGGCUCACUGGCCCGGUACUGACUCUGAGGUGCGAAAGCGUGGGGAGCAAACAGG
rnacentral:rRNA from 1 species